rnacentral:rRNA from 1 species
ACGCUGGCGGCAGGCCUAACACAUGCAAGUCGAGCGGUAGAGAGAAGCUUGCUUCUCUUGAGAGCGGCGGACGGGUGAGUAAUGCCUAGGAAUCUGCCUGGUAGUGGGGGAUAACGUCCGGAAACGGACGCUAAUACCGCAUACGUCCUACGGGAGAAAGCAGGGGACCUUCGGGCCUUGCGCUAUCAGAUGAGCCUAGGUCGGAUUAGCUAGUUGGUGGGGUAAUGGCUCACCAAGGCGACGAUCCGUAACUGGUCUGAGAGGAUGAUCAGUCACACUGGAACUGAGACACGGUCCAGACUCCUACGGGAGGCAGCAGUGGGGAAUAUUGGACAAUGGGCGAAAGCCUGAUCCAGCCAUGCCGCGUGUGUGAAGAAGGUCUUCGGAUUGUAAAGCACUUUAAGUUGGGAGGAAGGGCAGUAAAUUAAUACUUUGCUGUUUUGACGUUACCGACAGAAUAAGCACCGGCUAACUCUGUGCCAGCAGCCGCGGUAAUACAGAGGGUGCAAGCGUUAAUCGGAAUUACUGGGCGUAAAGCGCGCGUAGGUGGUUCGUUAAGUUGGAUGUGAAAUCCCCGGGCUCAACCUGGGAACUGCAUUCAAAACUGACGAGCUAGAGUAUGGUAGGGGGUGGUGGAAUUUCCUGUGUAGCGGUGAAAUG